GCGGCACCGGCCCGCACGAGCGCCGGCACGCCUCACACGCGGGAGGUCACUGGUUCAAAUCCAGUCACGCCCA
rnacentral:tRNA from 1 species